CAUGAAUUGUAUGCUACUACUUAGAUGCGAGAACCAGUGACACCAUAUGCUCAUACCAAUUUCGAACUCCACAAAUUGAAACACACAACACUCAAGAUUGAAGUCAAGGGUUGUAACAGGGCUUGGGGGUAAUUGCUAACAAAGAAAGGAUAUGAAUAACAAACGUUCUUAAAGCGAUAGCAAGCAAAGCAAUGAAAUAGACACUUGGAAUUCACUUUAGAAUG
rnacentral:lncRNA from 1 species